rnacentral:lncRNA from 7 species
AAAUAAUUUACUUAAUGAUCUCACCAUGGGAGCAAUUGGCAGAGCAAGAUUAGGUUGUAAGGGCCUAAUGGACAUGGGAAAACUUAAAAUUACUAGAAGAGAGGUCAGCAGACUGAGAUUCCAGAGCCAAGAAAGGAACCUGAGAUUCCAGAGUAUGCAACCAGCAAGAGUAUACAUCUUCGAUAGUGCUUUUACCCCCAAUAAGGAGCAGCAGUGCGUUGUAUGGAUGCGCCUGAGAGACCCAAGAGUACAUCACUGAGGAUAUGGGGGUUCAGUUGCAAUUUACACAAAGCAUAGAGAGUAUUGCUUCAUGUUGGGUUGGACUGAGCUGUGGAGAUAAAAACUUCUGGUUGAUCAGCCUCUAGGAGCUAAUGCGCCUUGGAUCUUCAAUAAUGCUUCCAUGGAUCCAGCUCUGCAAAGGGAUCUCCUGCAGCUGAAUCUGCAACUGCAAUUGCACCACUUUCAUGACACUGAAGGUUCUAUGACAUCCUGUGCAUCCAAAGAAACAAAGUGCUGAGAGCUACGUGCUGGUCUUUUGCACUGGAGCUGACGCAUCCUUGUAUCAGAUUCAUGAACUGAUCAGUGUUCAGCAGUAAAUCAAAAGAGUUUCAAGGAAAUUAAAUGUGUUGUGGUUUAAGAAAAAAAAAUACUAAAGAAAAGAAAAUCUUCCCAAAUACUAGGCCAAUCUCACAAGUACAAUCAGAGCCAGUCUGAAUUCUUUUUGAGAAAUUCCAUCAAUUCCUGCCAGACACAUACCUUUCUGUAUGAAUAACAGUACCUGAAAGGACGUGCCCUAUAAUAUAACAUUCUGCCAUUGUUUUUCCUCAAAAACCUGCAACACUACAGCCUGCAAUCAGCAGAUUAGGUGCUUAAUGCCAUGGCAUUAUAUGACACAUCUCACAUCUUUACACCCUGAAUUGAAAACAAGUAAUCCUCUUGUUAAGUUUCCUCUCUCUCAACAUCACAUUUUUACACCUGUAUUUUACAACUCUCAUCCGGGAUAAUGAAAUAUUUCUGCAUGUUGGACCAUUUAUUUUAUUUGCUCUAGUAGUUUCUGUGGAAAGUUUAUUGUGAUUUCCGACAGUAUUUUGGAAGUAAGGACUAUGACAAGCUCAGCUAAGUGAUAAGUGGAUGCUUGCUUAUCGAAGCUUAAAAAUAAGAAAGCAAAACUCAUAAAAUGCCAAUACUGUUUAUAGUGACAAAACAGUUUAGAUCUUUUGGCUAAUAACAUGGUAAUUGCAGUGAUUCAUUCUUACCUCUGUCAUACAGCAGAUAAAAUUUUGGAAUUGAACAGUCUCAUUAUUUAGUAUUUGUCAUUUCAUGUUUGGUAACUAAUAUUUAGUAUUUAAGUUGUGUUGGACAAGAUUUUCUUAAUGCUAGAGUGGAUAAAACUGAUUUCUGGCAUAUAAAAUUCAACUGGCAUAGACUUCAGUAGGAAUUACUUUUUGCAAGAAUCUGUGAGCAUAAUUUAGUGCAAGUAUAAAAUGUCUAUAAGUAGAAAAGUGAAAUUCAAAGUAUGUUUUUCUGUUUAGAUCAGAACCAGUGUGGUAGGAUUAUAGGACAUAUAUAAUGAUGUUUUAGAAGUAUUCAUAGAAAUCCAUAAAGGCCCAUGAAAUUCCUUUUCAUUGUCCAGGAUGAACUUCGUUGUUUUUUUUGUUGUUGUUGUUGGUUUUUUUUUUCACAUAUUGUCUGUAAUUAACAGACAAAUACAGAAAUAUAAAAUAUAUGUAACUAUAACUUGUCAAAUACAUCCAUUUCUCACUGCUUACCUGUCAUGAGGCAUUAUCUUGAUAAUUAUGUAUAUGUACCAAAGACUGUAUUUUAUUACAGUUCAUUCUAUUGUCAAAGUCUCUUGCAUUACACAGUCAGAAAUCCUUGAAGUUAAAUGUCCAGUCUUUUGAAACUUAGAAUAAAAGAUGUUUAAUAC